rnacentral:rRNA from 1 species
AAUGGGGGAUAACGUAGCGAAAGUUACGCUAAUACCGCAUAUGCCCUGAGGGGGAAAGUGGGGGAUCGCAAGACCUCACGUUUUCGGAGCGGCCGAUAUCAGAUUAGCUAGUUGGUGGGGUAAAGGCCCACCAAGGCGACGAUCUGUAGCUGGUCUGAGAGGACGACCAGCCACACUGGGACUGAGACACGGCCCAGACUCCUACGGGAGGCAGCAGUGGGGAAUUUUGGACAAUGGGGGCAACCCUGAUCCAGCCAUGCCGCGUGAGUGAAGAAGGCCUUCGGGUUGUAAAGCUCUUUCGGACGGAAAGAAAUCGCYYKKGMUAAUACCRKGKGUGGAUGACGGUACYGUAAGAAGAAGCACCGGCUAACUACGUGCCAGCAGCCGCGGUAAUACGUAGGGUGCGAGCGUUAAUCGGAAUUACUGGGCGUAAAGCGUGCGCAGGCGGUUUAUUAAGACAGAUGUGAAAUCCCCGGGCUUAACCUGGGAACUGCAUUUGUGACUGGUAGGCUAGAGUGUGGCAGAGGGGGGUAGAAUUCCA